rnacentral:misc_RNA from 1 species
GAUGAAGAACGCAGUGAAAUGCGAUACGUAAUGUGAAUUGCAGAAUUCAGUGAAUCAUCGAAUCUUUGAACGCAUAUUGCGCUCUCUGGUAUUCCGGAGAGCAUGCUUGUUUGAGUAUCAGUAAACACCUCAACUCCCUUUUCUUUUUUGAAAUGGGAGCUGGACUUGAGUGAUCCCAACACUUUUCUCACUGGAAAGUGGCGGGUCACUUGAAAUGCAGGUGCAGCUGGACUUUUUUCUGAGCUAUAAGCAUAUCUAUUUAGUCUGCCUAAAAAACAGAUUAUUACCUUUGCUGCAGCUAACAUAAAGGAGAUGAGUUCUUGCGCUGACUGAUGCAGGAUUCACAGAGACAGCUUUGCGGCUGACUUUGUAAACUCGAUCUCAAAUCAAGUAAGACUACCCGCUGAACUUAAGCAUAACAAUAAGCGGAGGA